GGUUCUAUUUAUCAGACCUGAAAUCAGGCGAGGUUACCCGCUGAACUUAAGCAUAUUAUUAAGCGGAGGAGAAGAAAAUAACUAUGAUUCCCUUAGU
rnacentral:rRNA from 1 species